rnacentral:rRNA from 1 species
UGGGGAAUUUUGGNCAAUGGGGGGAACCCUGAUCCAGCCAUCCCGCGUGUAUGAUGAAGNCCUUCGGGUUGUAAAGUACUUUUGACAGGGAAGAAACAACUCCGGCUAAUACCCGGAGCCAAUGACGGUACCUGUAGAAUAAGCACCGGCUNACUNCGUG